rnacentral:rRNA from 1 species
AGUGAACGCUGGCGGUAGGCCUAACACAUGCAAGUCGAACGGCAGCACAGUAAGAGCUUGCUCUUACGGGUGGCGAGUGGCGGACGGGUGAGGAAUACAUCGGAAUCUACUUUUUCGUGGGGGAUAACGUAGGGAAACUUACGAUAAUACCGCAUACGACCGACGGGUGAAAGCAGGGGAUCAUCGGACCUUGCGCGAUUGAAUGAGCCGAUGUCGGAUUAGCUAGUUGGCGGGGUAAAGGCCCACCAAGGCGACGAUCCGUAGCUGGUCUGAGAGGAUGAUCAGCCACACUGGAACUGAGACACGGUCCAGACUCCUACGGGAGGCAGCAGUGGGGAAUAUUGGACAAUGGGCGCAAGCCUGAUCCAGCCAUACCGCGUGGGUGAAGAAGGCCUUCGGGUUGUAAAGCCCUUUUGUUGGGAAAGAAAAGCAGCAGGUUAAUACCCCGCUGUUCUGACGGUACCCAAAGAAUAAGCACCGGCUAACUUCGUG